UCUGAGAGGCGUAUUAAUAGUGAACAACUUCUUCGAUUCUUCAUCGAACGCGUAUUGCUCAUAACACCGUAGAACAUCCAACUUUUGAAAGUACUUAGCGUCAGCUAAGCGACAGAAUAAUUCGUUUCAGUACAACAGGGAUAAAGGUGCUUAUCUAUCACAGACCGAAUAGUCUACGUACAGUCCUCACAGAUUUGGAUCUUGUCAUCAAGUUUCAUCACGGUAACAACGGGAGAAGCCCAUUCGGUGACAUCCACCUUUUUCAAUGAACCCAAACUUAUAAUUUCAUGAAAUUCCUCAAUAACUUUCCCUCGGAUGGCCAGCGGAACGGUACGCGAACGAAUAUAUCCUUGUCUUGCGUCCUCCUUAAUAUGGACAACUGCCUUGGAAUGGGAUACAGUUUCCCCCAGGUGCGUCAUCAAAGAGGUUGGAAAACUCAUCCAACAGGGCUUGAAUAUCUGCGUUAGUUGACAAAGACCCAUCAGCUUGAUGAACAGCACCAUUGUGCUUCACCAGGCCAAGACCCAGGCAGGAUCGCAAUCCCAGGAUGGGUUGCCCUACUUCUGUCACGACACAUUUCAAUCUUCCCCACGAUUGAGUACCCAGUAACUGGAACAGUGACGGAUCCUCUUGUCGGCACUCUUCCGUAAUGCAGCCUGUAUUUGCGCGAUUUACUUGACAAUGUACCAUCUUAAUUUUUGUUUAUGUUAAAACUAUAUAUACUUUAUGUCCUCCCAAUUUUCGUGUACCUAUCUGAAAUCUAGGAUUCUUCAAGAAACUUGAUUGAUUCCUUAGAAAAGAUUUGUGUUGUUUUUUCCUUCAUUGGGUGAUAACGAGAACUACAAAUCAUCACUUUGUCUCGUAGACGUGCAAUUAAAGAUAUAAUUACACUACACCGAAUUUUAAGCAGAAAGAUUAACCCAUCUCCCCCCAACCUGGAUACUAAAUAAAAACUAUCUGUUCCUCAAAACGAGACUCUCCACUCAAAACACCAUCUACCAACCAAAACACAAAAUUGACAUUUGUAAGCAUAGUUUAUAUUACAGAACUAUUAUUCUUUGGAAUGAAAUACCUUUUUGCUUUCGCCAGGGAAGUGAGGCUGACCUCGAACGAUUUUUAGUAAAUUCUUUUUAAAUGUAACACUUGUUUUUUUUUUCUCUGCACUGUUACGUUAUUUUAUGUUUCUGUCUUUUAUAUUUGUAUUAUAAAUACAUCACUAUUAUUAAGAACGAUA
rnacentral:lncRNA from 1 species